UAGUUAUUUCUUUAAACCCAAAGAAUUUGGCGGUGUUUUAGUCCAUUUAGAGGAAUCUGUCCCUUAAUCGAUAGUCCACGUUUGGUUUUUCUUGAUUUUGUUUUCAGUAUGUAUACCGUCGUUAUAGGUUUAUUUUAUAAGAUUUAAUUUGCUAAAAAAUUUAUUAUUUUUUAUUUCAGAUCAAGGUGCAGCUUAUAAUUAAGUGGUGGUGGAUUACAAUAUUAUUUGAGUAUAUGGAUUUAUUAUUUAAUUGCAAUGAUGAAGGUGGAUUUAAUUGUAAUUUUAUUAAUUAUUAAUUUGAUUUUGGUUCUAAAAUGAGUACACAUCGCCCGUCGCUCUA
rnacentral:rRNA from 1 species